GACACAGUAGCCGCGGGAAUACAGAGGGUGCGAGCGUUAAUCGGAUUUACUGGGCGUAAAGCGUGCGUAGGCGACUUCUUAAGUCGGAUGUGAAAUCCCUGAGCUUAACUUAGGAAUUGCACUCGAUACUGGGAAGCUAGAGUAUGGGAGAGGAUGGUAGAAUUCCAGGUGUAGCGGUGAAAUGCGUAGAGAUCUGGAGGAAUACCGAUGGCGAAGGCAGCCAUCUGGACUAAUACUGACGCUGAGGUACGAAAGCAUGGGGAGCAAACAGGAUUAGAUACCCCGGUAGUCCCUGUCUCUGAUACA
rnacentral:rRNA from 1 species